ensembl:lncRNA
CUUUUUCUGAUCUGCAAAUCCUUACUCCUUGAUUUUGUAAAGCUAAUAUUGUCUUGGAUCUCGUACGUGUUGCGUGUGUGACAUUUAUGAAGCGCGUGAAGGAAAUGAUUAAUUUUUAAUUUGUAAUAAUUUUGUUUCUGUUCAUGUUCAUCUGAGGAUAACACCUAAGAAGGCCAUGUCAUGUCACUGAGAUCAGUACAGAAUGUUUAUCUGCUUACAGAGACACAAACAUGUUCUUCUGUUCAAGAGGACGAGUCUGCGAGUGUUGUCUAAUUUCCACGACAAUUUGGCGUCUCCUGGCUGGGCUGCGUGAGUCUUUUCAGCUUUUCUGGACAACAAGCAAACCGGAGGACGACCGUGGAACAGUUUCACCCUGAAGUCCGUGUUGACGCAAACGCUGUUUGCCCUUUGUUGUGAGAAUCAAGAAUUUAGAAUUAGAAUUUUAUGAAAUCAUUGUGUAUCGCUGUCUGUGUAUUGCUGUCUGUCUGUGUUUCAGGAACUUCGCCUCUGCGACGGCAGAGAUCUUGGUGUUUCUUAGAUCACAGAUUCAAAACUGACAGAGAUAAUAACAGUAAAAAUAUUUGCUAACGGAAAGAGUCCUGUUCGAGCAAUAAAUAAGUAAAGAGAGUACUUAUUAAGAAGUGCAAGAGGCGCAGUAUUUUUGCAGUGGGUUAUUAUCAAGUGACAUGCCCCAGUGUCUCAUUCUAUCAUAUCAGAAGUACAUGAUACAUUUGGCAAAUUUAACACACAAGUAAAUUUAACUGAGAUAAAAAAUACUAAUAAAAAUAUUUUUAAAAAAGAAGGGAAGAGAAAACUGUAAGUCCUACCAAAUUGCUGUAUGUGAACUCGCCUCACAGGUACACUCUUUUACAUUCUUAAGGUUUGCUCUAUUGAACCUAUAGCUUAUAUGAUUACUUGAAUGUCUAGAGAUUUGGCACACAUUUUGAACCUUUUUUGUCUGUGCACACUGUGAUAUUCACUUGAUUUUCAUAGCAUGUUAAAUUGAUUAAAACUUUAAAGUUAUAGAAGCUGUAAAGAAAAGAAAAAUAUGGGGAGAACAUGUAGCAAAGCGCAUCCUGAGACACAGGCUAUGGUAUGUACAGGGUACUCAUAUGUUGAUCCUAAUAUCACGUUUAUAUGUGUAAAUUAUGGGGAAGGAUGUUUGAACCAAUAUGAUGUAUAGGUUAAAGAAUGUGCUUUCCUAGAAAAAGGUAGUUUUAGUCUCAGACAGUUAGAACAACAGAAAUUUAAUUUGGAAGCAAAGAAGAGAGAUAUUCCUAAAAGUAAAAAAAUAAAUAAAUAAACAGUUUUUGGCAGACUGGAAGGCAUUUGCUGAAUGGCAGAGAAGAAAAAAGAAAAAAAAAAUCAGGCAGGUCCCUCAUCUGUUUCUCAGUGUGAUAAGUUACAGAAAGCCGAUCGCGACCUGGACUCCACCCCACCGCGACGCCCACAGCCAAUAAGGAGGGAGGAACCUGCAGUUUCAGAGGCGCCUCCUCACAAUAAAGCAGCCCAGCCUACGCCACUCUAUCCGAACCAGUCAGAACUGAGCCACCAACCCCCACCGAACUAUGCGCCAGCCAUCCUAGCUUCACUGGUGGCGUUACACCCAAGAUACCAAGUGAAGGGACCAAGAACAUUGCUGCCUGAGGGCUUCAGACCAACAAAAUCAGACAGAGAAGGGACAAUGCACGCCUCGGUGAAUGUCCCAAUGCUAGAAGUGGCCCUAUGCUAGUUCACAGACCCUAGACAUUGGAAGAAAUCAGGAGCAGCAUGACGCAUCUGCCG